GAGUAAACUGGGGCAUGAGUGGGUGGGUGACCGUCGUGGUGAGUCGGUGCAAGACUUGGUGGGUGGGCAUGAUGGUGGUGGUGAGGGUGAGUAGGUGGGUGACUUGGUGACACUGCUGGGGAGAUCAAAUGAAGGUAUGAUGGGAUUUCACCAAAGACAGUGAAACAUAGUAGUGAAAGCUGCAGUAGCACAAAAGCUUUAGCUACAGCAAAACCCAUUUUUUCUGGUUUCUAUCAGAACCUAGAGAGGGAGAG
rnacentral:misc_RNA from 1 species